rnacentral:rRNA from 1 species
UGGGGAAUAUUGCACAAUGGGCGAAAGCCUGAUGCAGCAACGCCGCGUGAGUGAUGAAGGUCUUCGGAUUGUAAAGCUCUGUCUUUUGGGACGAUAAUGACGGUACCAAAGGAGGAAGCCACGGCUAACUACGUGCCAGCAGCCGCGGUAAUACGUAGGUGGCGAGCGUUGUCCGGAUUUACUGGGCGUAAAGGGUGCGUAGGCGGAUGUUUAAGUGAGAUGUGAAAUACCCGGGCUUAACUUGGGUGCUGCAUUUCAAACUGGAUAUCUAGAGUGCAGGAGAGGAGAAUGGAAUUCCUAGUGUAGCGGUGAAAUGCGUAGAGAUUAGGAAGAACACCAGUGGCGAAGGCGAUUCUCUGGACUGUAACUGACGCUGAGGCACGAAAGCGUGGGUAGCAAACAGGAUUAGAUACCCUGGUAGUCCACGCCGUAAACGAUGAGUACUAGGUGUAGGAGGUAUCGACCCCUUCUGUGCCGCAGUAAACACAUUAAGUACUCCGCCUGGGAAGUACGAUCGCAAGAUUAAACUCUAAAGUGAAUUGACGGGGUC